CCGGUUUCCUGCGUUGCGUACCUACGAGAAGGCAUUCGUUGUUGUCCCAGCGGCCCUGGUUCGUARAGAGAGCUCCCCGUUUUUGCGGGGCACAAGACGAAAGCUGCAGCUUGGUCCGUUACCCAUGUCGUGGUGAACGGGGCAGUGCUUAAGGUCUCGGAUACGGAAAGCGUGGAGGGCAUUGGCAUCUGAUCCUUGCCCGAGCAUGCGUUAGAUCGGACCCUAACAAGGGUGCGCGCGACUGUCGCCCCCGCCUCGGUUCGGCCGUGCGGGCAGGACGUCGUUGAGGAAUGCU
rnacentral:misc_RNA from 1 species